CUUGCUUCUCUUGAGAGCGGCGGACGGGUGAGUAAUGCCUAGGAAUCUGCCUGGUAGUGGGGGAUAACGUUCGGAAACGGACGCUAAUACCGCAUACGUCCUACGGGAGAAAGCAGGGGACCUUCGGGCCUUGCGCUAUCAGAUGAGCCUAGGUCGGAUUAGCUAGUUGGUGGGGUAAUGGCUCACCAAGGCGACGAUCCGUAACUGGUCUGAGAGGAUGAUCAGUCACACUGGAACUGAGACACGGUCCAGACUCCUACGGGAGGCAGCAGUGGGGAAUAUUGGACAAUGGGCGAAAGCCUGAUCCAGCCAUGCCGCGUGUGUGAAGAAGGUCUUCGGAUUGUAAAGCACUUUAAGUUGGGAGGAAGGGUUG
rnacentral:rRNA from 1 species